rnacentral:rRNA from 1 species
GUGGGGAAUUUUGGACAAUGGGCGCAAGCCUGAUCCAGCAAUGCCGCGUGUGUGAAGAAGGCCUUCGGGUUGUAAAGCACUUUUGGCAGGAAAGAAAUAGUGCGUGCUAAUACCAUGCGCGAAUGACGGUACCUGCAGAAUAAGCACCGGCUAACUACGUGCCAGCAGCCGCGGUAAGACGUAGGGUGCAAGCGUUAAUCGGAAUUACUGGGCGUAAAGCGUGCGCAGGCGGUUUUGUAAGACAGGUGUGAAAUCCCCGUGCUCAACCUGGGAACUGCACUUGUGACUGCAAGGCUAGAGUGUGUCAGAGGGAGGUGGAAUUCCGCGUGUAGCAGUGAGAUGCGUAGAGAUGCGGAGGAACACCGAUGGCGAAGGCAGCCUCCUGGGAGAACACUGACGCUCAGGCACGAAAGCGUGGGGAGCAAACAGGAUUAGAAACCCCAGUAGUCC